GAUCGUCAAUUCGAAAAUCGCAACAUCGAAAACGACCUAGAAGCACGGAAGGCUCUAUGCUUCGAGAAGCAUAGUAGCCUCACACUAUAUAUAUAUAUAUAUUAUAUAUAUAUAUAAUAUAUUAUUAUAUAUAUAUAUAUAUAUAAAGAGUAGGACUAUUGUGCUAUUAGGAGAACAGUAUCUCUUGUACUCCUAAGUUCCUAACUAUCCAUCAAUUUUGGUGGAUGACUAGGAUCAAUCUCUCAUUUGUCUUAUUUCUCUCUCAAUUUUUCUUUUCUCAUUCUCUCCCAAUUUCUUCUAUCUCUUUCUCUCUCACUUUCUCUUCUCUAUCUGUCUUAGCCCACACCCCCGCCAUAAACGAUAAAUCCUAAACCCUAAAUCCUAAAAAAAUCCUAAACCCUAAAAUCCUACACCUUAAACCCUAAAUCGUAAACCCUAAACGCUAAAGCCCAAAACCUUAAACCCUAAACCCACCCCACCCCUGCCAACGCCAGCGGCAGGGGCGACGACGACGAUGGCAGGGGUGGGAGUGGUGCGGUGGUAUAUGGGGUUGGGAGAGGGAAGAGGGUUGAGGUGGAGGUGAUUAUAGUGGGAAGUGUGAGAAAAAGAAGAGAAAUUGGGGAGAUAUUGAAAGAGAGGAGAAAUUGAGAGAGAUGGUAUAUAAAAAAGCGAAAAAAAAAUCUAACCAUUAAUUAAUUUUGGUAGAUUGUUAGAAAGUUAUGAGCACAAGAACUGUCAUGCUCCUAAUAGUAUAGUAGCCUUGUUCUAUAGAACUCCUAUGCUUAAGGCACCAAAUCAUUAGCGCCUGUAGCUUUUCAACCUUUAGACGAAAAUUUGUAGUAGGAUAAUAAUGGCUCCCUGGAGUACGUGGUUGGUUGAAUACCAUAAUCUAAGAGGUGAAAUUGGUCAAAGGGAUCUAUUUAACAGUGAAAAACUUAUAAGCAUCAAGUGUUUAGUGCUUUUAAAAGAACCAUUGCCGCACUCUCUCUCUCUCUCCAAAUAUAUACAUACAUAUUUAAGAGAGAGUGCGAGCUGCUUAUACACCUAAAAAGUAGGUGCACAAAAACAAAGGUUUUACUUGUAAAUUUUGAUAAAUUAAUGAACUUUGAAUAAAAGUAUCUAAUUUGAUAGGAUAUAAAAAAAUUAGUCGAUUUAUUUCAUUUGAUUUAUCUAUUAAAUAUAAAUUAAUUCAGAAGUUUAAAUAGUGUUGGUUGAAAAAUCAAAGAACUAGUGGGAGAUAACAUUGAUUAAAAAUUUAUUAGUUAUUUUGAGUCUAUUUGGGAAAUACAAGGGUAUUUUUGUCCAUGCAUCCACUUCGUUCUCGUUGAAGGGACUUCCAAAUAGAUGAAUGAUUUCAUUAAACUUGAUUUGAAGACGAUGAUUUGAGUUUUAUAAUUUUUCGGCAUUAUUUAGAGCUUGGCAAUAUAGUGAAAAAUAUCAUGCAUGUGAAAAUGACUUGCUAUCUCUUGUUUCUCUUUAGAUUUAAGUUUUUUUUUAAUCUUUUGGUCCCUUAUCGUUUAUGUGAAUUUUCAUAACAGAGAUAACUGAAAAACUACUGCAGUGGAAGCCAAUACUUACAAAAAAAGUUGAUAGCUCAGGAAGCACUCCCCUUCACUAUUUAGCAGCAACUGGUAACCAUUACAUGAUGCGUCAACUAUUAAAACAGGACACUUCUCCGGCUUACAUGUCAGACUGUAAAGGAUUAUGCCCUAUACAUGUUGCUAGUAGGAUGGGAAGACUCUCUAUAAUUCGUGAGCUUAUUAGCUGUUGUCCUGAUAUGGGCGAGUUAGUGGACGGUAGAGGAAGGAAUUUUCUACAUAUUGCUAUACAGCACAAAAGGGAGCGGAUAGUUAGGUUCGUCUGUAAGCAUCCGUUGUUUCUGAGAGUAAAGAAUGGAACGGAUUGUGAAGGGAAUACGCCACUACAUCUUGCUGUAAAAUCCAAGAACCGAACUAUCGUGUGUCUUCUGUUGGAAAAUGUUAGUGUACGCCUAAGCAUCGUGAACAAGGAUGGUAAAACACCUCUAGAUCUUGCAAUAGCCGGGCUCAACUUUGGCUUGUAUUUAAAGCAGGUAAUUCAAUUUCCUACUCUAAGUUCUAUUUUAAUUAUUCCACCCUUCCAAGCGUCAAUUCGCUAGCAUAUAUAUAUAUAUAUAUAUAUAUAUAUAUAUAUAUAUAUAUAUAUAUAUAUAUAUAUAUAUAUAUAUAUAUAUAGUUAGCUAUGGUGCUAUAAACAGCACCCAAGCAUUUGGUGCUUGAAAUUUUUUACCGUUAAAUCUACUCCUCAGAUCAUUUUAAUAACCGCUAAAUUAAUCUAUUUAACCAACCACCCACUCAACCCUAGGGCCCACAUUAUCCUAACCGCCACAUCUCCUCAAUCCAACGGCUAAAAACUACAAGUAUCAUAACUUGGUACUUUAAAAGCAUAGGAGCUACAGUCUAUAUAUAUAUAUAUAUAUAUAAGUGAGCUAUUAUACUUUUAUCAUCAACGUAUCACCAUCAUGGUGCUAUUAGGUUUUAAGCCAUUGGAUCUACUUUUUGAUUAUUAAUGGCCCUUGGAUUAAACACUAUUCCACCUACCACCACCUACCACCACCUACCACCAUCAUCUCAACCUCACAUCUCUCCAUCCAAGGGCUAAAAACACACAAGUAUCACCCCCAUGAUACUUUUACAAGUAUUCUAGCCCUACUCUAUAUAUAUAUAUAUAUAUAUAUAUAUAGAAUUAUGCUACAAUACUAUCAAUAGUACCAAGCCUUUGGUACUAUUAAGUUUUCGGCCGUUGGAUGAAAAGAUGUGCGGUUAGAAUGAUAGUGGUCCCCGGUUAAAUUGAUAGUGGUCCCCUAGGGUUAAAUGGGUGGUUGGUUUAAUAGUAUAAUCUAACGAGUGGAAAUGAUCAGAGGGUAGAUCUAACGGUAGAAAACUCAAUAGUACCAAGUGCUUGGUACUAUCGAUAGUAUAGUAGCCGAACUCAGAGAGAGUUCGGCUACUAUACUAUUAUGAGUACGAUCGCCCUCGUACUCAUAAGUUGUUUUCGAUGAUAGAGUUUUCGAAUUGACGAUCCAUACCGUCAAACGUUAUCUAGAGCAUUUAAAACUUCUAUAAAUCAAAUUCCAUAAUUUUUCAACAUCAUUUACCUUACAAUCAAAAGGUCACAAAAUUGACAAUUUUUAACGGCCGGUAUGGGAUAGUUGCUAGUUUAACGGUGUAAAAGAAUCGGAAUCGGUUGAAUUUUUAAUAGAAAAUUCUAUUCACUACCUAGAUAAAGAUCAAUAACUCCGAUCUUAAAUUGAAGGAUCCGAUCAUCUAUUUUUAGGACGUCGUUCGAUUUCGACCGUUCAUUUUAUACCCGCUUGAUAGACUUUAUUAUGAUUUCGAAGUCCUAUUUAACAGAGUGGAUCGUCGAUUCAGAAGUCCCAUCAUCGAAAAUAACUUAAGAGUACGAAGGGCCCAAUACUCAUAAGAGUAUAGUAGCCCUACUCUAUAUAUAUAUAUAUAUAUAUACAUAUAUAUAUAUAUACAUAUAUAUAUAUAUAUGUACACGUAUAUAUAUACACGUAUAUAUGUAUAUGUAUAUAUACAUGUAUAUAUAAAUGUAUAUGUAUACGAAUUGAGUUAGAAUACUUUUAUAAGUAGCAACCCGUUGAUGCUUCUAGGUUUCUAGUCCUUGAAUUUACGAUUCUUCAUUACUAAUAGCUUUUGGAUCAAACACUAUUCCACCUAUCACUAUUUAUCACCAUCAUCUCAACCCUACAUCUCUCCAUCCAAUGGCUAAAAACUCAAAUGCACUAACCCCUUAGUGCUUUUGAGAGUAUUCUACCUCAACUCUAUAUAUAUAUAUAUAGUUGGAAUGAUUGAAUUUAGAUGAAAAAUUGUUUUUCAUCUAAAUUCAAUCAAACACUCUACAGCUUUUAACCAAAAUAAAUUCUACAGCAAUUAUUUUUCUAAAAUCUAAGAGCAAACAGUAUGUUACUUGGUCUUCAAUUCUUACAUAUUAUUAUGUUUCUUCGCUUCCAGAAUAACUGGAUUUAUUGGUGCUUAAAAGGGGCUGGAGCCAUCAGCGGCUCUCGACGACUGGACCACUUAGCCGGUGAAAACCUCACUCAACCAGGUCUUAAGAAGGAACCGAAGGAGGAACAGGAGACGUACAAGAGCGCACCCCAGAACCUCCUCGUUGCCUCUGUACUUAUCGUUACCGUUACAUUCGCCGCAGCUUUCACCAUGCCUGGGGGUUACAGAGCCGACGACCACCAAAACGGCGGCUCGCCGACUCUAGCAGGGAAAUAUGCUUUCCAUGUCUUCAUAGUCGCAGACACUCUAGCAUUCACUUACUCCGUUCAAGCCACCCUUAAGGUUAUGUACGCCGGCUCGCAUGUGGUCGAUCCAUCUCGUCGGUUUGUCCCCAUUCGAGAUUUCAUAGCCAUGGCCGCUCUACUUAUGGUGGCGGCAUUCGCAAUGUCCGUAUAUGUCCUGCUGGCUCCACUUAGUAAAUCCAUCGCCGUUCUUUGCUGUGCAAUGCCUUUGGCUUUCACGUCAAUAUUUCUUUCUUUGUGGGCACGGCGGCCUUUUCUUCUGGCAAUGGCAUUAACGAGAAGACUGGGAUGGUCUGGCAUGUUCAAACGCUGCGUAGCAAUGCGGCCCCGGGAAAUAUUUCCUGUUGGGAAUUAUAACUGUUUCAUCCUCAGCCGGAAAGCACUGUACCUAGUAUUAUAUGCCAGCAUCUUUCUGCUGCCGCUGGCCGACGUAUGGGGUCAUCACUACUGCAAUUCGCAUAAACAACACUCUUCUGCGUGUUCAUUCUUUUAUGGGUAAGUAAGUGCAUUUUCACUUUAAUUUCCAUCUUGUGAUUUGAAAAAUAUUAUUUUGCUAUCAUCUAAUUUUUUAUUUUUUUCUUUUUACUGUAAAGGCCUGCCAUUAACAAAUAAAUAAAUAAAUAAAUUUUGUAAUAUGUUUUACAAGUCACAGAGUGACUAUCUAAUUAAAUAUAAUAUUUUAAUAUUGAUCCUACUUGGCUGAAGGUCUUUACAUAUAGUGAUAUAGAGAGAAAAUUAUAUGGUGGCAAAAUAAUACUUUUCAAAUUAUGUAGUGGCAAAGUGAAAAUGCAUAGACCAAAUGAAGCGGUAAAUAAUUGAAGGGUUUUAAAAAAAUAAAAUAAAAUUUGAGCAAAGUAAUUAUGUUUGUGCCUUUUCUUUGAGUCGUUGUACUGGAGUCUAAUGUUAGGAUCCUAUCUAAUAAAUGGGAAUGGAUCAAUCAAUAAGCUUGUCUGGGUUCUUCAGUCAAUUACGCACGAGUGUUUUAAAAUAAAAAUUUUAGGUGAUAUUAUUGUUAUUUUCUUUUAAAAUUUUAAGUUUUGUUUGAUAUUAAUUGUUACUAUUUUUUAUGUUUUUUCUCCUUUCUCGAGCGAGGAAAGGGAAGAAAAUUUUGUCGGCAUGCCUAAAGAGAGGAAUAGUAUUCUUUUUCACUUUUUUUUUCUUUCUCUUUAUUAUGUUUUCAUACAAUCAGAGAUUGAAUCUCCAACAUUUGGAAUGAUAACCUGUAUAACAUAACAACUACUUGGUUAGAAUGAUGUUUAUUGUUCACCUCUUUAGUGUCUUUUCAUUUAAAAAAGACUUUCCGUGGAAUAUAAAUUAACAAAGAAAAGCACCUUAUUUUAUAUCGGCAUUUUACACUACAAGAAGCAUUAUUUAUACAUUUGCGCGUCUCAAUUUUGCGGCCUUUUUUGGCAUUGUGAUCUUUUUCUUUUAUUUUUUAAAAUAAAAUUUUAGGCAUUGUUUGAUAUUAUUGUCAUUGUGACGCCCCGACUUCCCAAGGGGUCACCCAUCCUAGGACUACUCCCGUCCUAGCACGCUUAACUCUCUUAACCUCUUGGGUCUAGCCACCACCCAAAAUGCUUAAGCCGGGUUAAGAGUUUAGCCCUAUUAUAUCUNAAAAUCCGUCAGCGUCAUUAGUUCCAGAACAGCUGACCCGGUCGAAACGAGCUAUUGGACUGCUAUGAACAGAGUCCGGUACGAGCCAGAAGCCAACUUCUCACCGCGGCUUCUCCGGAAAAUUGAGUUACUAUUCACUUUAAGUGAAACUUGGAAAUCGCGUAGAAUUUCCGUUUUAACUCGAUUUCGCCCGAAACUUGACGAGUGCUUUUGUAAUUAAAUUACACACAAAAACAUCGUCAACUGAGAGUUUAGCUACACUGCAAAAAUCUCAGUCCCUACAGUCAUUUUCUUUUAAAAUUUUUAAAUAAAAAUUUUAGGCCUUAUUUGGUGUUGUUGGUAUUUUAUUUUUUUUCUUUCUUUUCUCUUUAGAGAGAGAAGAGGGAAAGAAAUUCUAUUAUUAAUUAGUGCAUCGAAAGAGAGGAAUAGCACAUUUUUCAUUUUUUCUUCCCUUUUUCUCUUUAGAGGGUUUCCAUGCAAGUAGUGACUGUAUCUCCCAUGUUUGAAAUGUUAACCUAGAUAACAACUCCUAGGUUUGGACAACCCUUUGUGUCUUUUCAUUUGUAAAAGGCUACUUCGAUGAAAUAUAAAUUAAUGAAGAAAAGCACCUUCUUCUAUAUGGGCACUUUACGCUACAAAAUGCAUAAUUUAUAUAUUUGCGUGUCUCUCAUUUGUUCGGCCUUUUUCUUGUGGAACGAAACUACAACUUUUUCAUCUUUGGUUUUGAAAUAAAUUUUUUUAUAUUUUAUAUUUUUUAUUCUUUUUGCAAAGUUCAACAUUUUGAGUAACUCUUGCCUUUCCUAACUAUGGCUUUAGAAUCUGGCAAUACUCUUUUACUGACUCGAGGAACUUGGUUUUUUUUUAUUUUUUAUUUUAUAUGAUGCUCAUAUGAAGUGAUGCUGGCGAAUGAUGCAUGUGAAUAUAUCUGCAUGUGACAUGAUACAUGUGAACUGAUGCAUAUGAAGUGAUGCUGGUGAAAAGAUGCAUUUGAAUACGUAAUGCAUGUGAAGUGAUGAAGGUGACAUGAUGCAUGUAAAGUUCUAUAGUGAUUUCCUCUAUCAAGUUUGAAAUUAUCAGAGAAUGUUCAAAUUGUUACAGACAAGCAUGUCGAAGUUUUUCAGAAAAGAUUAUGAAACAUAAAUAGUAACAAGAAGUUCAUCAAUUUGGUACUAGAUUUUAAAUCCAAAGUUAGGAAAGGCAUAAAUAUUGCACUACAAAAGAACAAUCAAAACUUAUUUCAACACCAAAGUAAAAUGAUUAUAAGAUAAUCCGGCCAGCUGAAUCAUAAGAAAAUGAUUAAACAACGAUUCUAUUUUGGAAUAGGAGUAAUGGAGUACAUUUGGUUGAUUCGAAUCUCAAUUUCACAAUUUGUAUCUCAAUUCAUGUAAUUGGGACCGGGUCGAAUUAUUAAAUGGUGUAGCACUAAGUUUAGUAUCUACUAAGAGUUAGCCUUGCUUUUGAAAGAUUAAGGGGGUGAGCACUAAAUUUAGUAUGUAGUAAGAGUUAGCUUGAUUUGUAUAGCUGUAUUAGGUCGGUCAACAUAUCAUAACUUGAAUUUAUUUCGUUAGAUAGUGAUCAGUCUUUUAGAGUUUUGUUUAUUUUGAAAGAUCCGAGGCAUGCAAAAAGAAUCAGAAUGAGUGACUCUCAUUGUUGGUGUUUGAUUUGAGGGAUUCACACAGCGGAAAUUUAACCGGCCAAAUCCCAUAACAGAGGUGCAAGUCAACUUUGAUUCCAGGGAGGAUUGAGAAAAGGGCUUUCUUUUUUUAUUACUACUAACAAUUAUUUGAAUUUGAAUAUAAAUUUAAGUUCUAGUUUACGCUAGCUAAGGAUAACAGUAAAAGAGUGCUCUCCUGCAACCAUCUGCUUAGUAAUAGCUUAUUGGCCGCCCCAUAUUAAGUCAGUUUCAAUUGAAAGCAAAGAUUUCACUAGUAGUGAAAGGAUUAUCAAGUGAGAAGCAUUUGUCUAGCUACGAGGAAAGUGUUUAGGUUGUUUGUAAGAUACAUGUCAAAGAAAAUACCGUCCUUUAAAUUAUGAAUUCAAAUUUAAAUUCAAGUUUUAAUUUCUUAAGUUCAAAGUAGGAAUUGGAAUAAUAGUUUGAUUUUUUGAAUUUAGUUCUAGUUUUAAAUUUUGAUUUGAACUUGUUCCUCACUGGAUGGUACUUGAAAUCCUCAAGUGUUGCAUCCAUCAUGACUUGAUUAAUAUUUUUUUAAUCAAAGUUUGUUAUAUAUCUGGAUUACUUGUGUUAACGUAGUUAAAUUUUUUUUUACGGUAAAACAGGAGAUGGUUCUUAGUGUGCCCAAAUUCAUUAAUGGGAUAAGAAAAUUAAUGCACAAUGUAAGCUUGCACGUCCAAACAAUCACGGCCAAAAGAUCAGCAGUCAACCAAGCUAACCUAACGUAGAAUGAAAAUACAAGUGAGGAACAACAACUAACCUAAAACCAACUUACAAUAGAAUAAUCACAUAGUUAAUUAAUGAGCAUAGUAUGCAAAACAAUAAUAACAGUAUGUAACUAACUCAUAAGUGCAGAAUCGAUUUGACCAGCCUAUUUAUGACACAAAAAGUUCUUAAAUGCAUUGUGAGUGAAGCUCGAACUGAAGUCACCAUUGUUAAUACUUACUUCUGCCUUUUUUAAUUUGGCCUGUUUAACCCCUAGUGUUCAUUGUUCAUUCUGACUUGAACAUACCUUCCCCCUUCAACAAUAGGUUGCGCAAAGAAGAUGUGAAGUUUGCAAAGGCUCCGGCCUUGUACUAAAAGAUACUUAUUAUGUUCGCUGCCCUAGCUGUGAUAUGUUGAUUUUUAUGUAUGCAAACUUUUUAUUUUGUUGAUUCCUCUGUUUCAAAAAAAAACAUGUCCAUCUAAGCUUGAAAUUUGUUUUAAUAUUGAAGUAAAAUUCGCAUCAGUUUGUCCAUUAUUUUUCAGUUUAACAUUUUAAUCCAUUUCAUUUUGUAGGUGGCUUUCUGCCAUGGCAGUCGUGGAAAAGAUUCUUUACUGGUUAGAACUUAACUAAGAAGUUUGUGAGCCGUUUUAUCUGUCCUACUAAAUUUGAACGAUAUGUAAUAGCAUGAAACUAGACAGAACCCAAGAGAAAGUAUAAGAAAUAUUUGAGGAAGUUUCAUAAAUCAAGUCAAAGACAAUCAUUUAUAAAGCUAAUGAAGAGAAUUUUGAUGUAGACAUUAGAAGGUAAACAAUUGGACUUGGAGUUUGUUGCGUAAAUAAUUGUUCGUAAGAACAUUUCGAAUACAGAACUUUUAAAUGAAGAGGUGAAUAAGGUACAAAUAAAAAAAUAAUAUAAUAGUACAAUCGAAAUAUUAAAAGUCUUAGACAAUUGAAAUGAUUAGUCAUCGAAAGGUAAGGAGAACUGAAAAAAAAAAAACGAAAGCAAAUUUUAGGGGAUAAAAGAAUGAAAAAAGAACUUAUCAUUAGACGCAAUUAAAAAUUUUUGGCAAAGACCGCAAGAGUAUUGAAAGUAUACAUGAAAAAGAAAAAGUUGUGAAAUGUGCCAUUAAAAAUCACAAAAGCAAUCAAGGAUUGAAAAAAUAAGAAUUAUAUAAUAAAUAGAAGACCAUACUUAAGAAUAUUAGACAUAGAGAUACCAAAUACAAUAAAAGAUAAAAUCAAAAACAAAGAAUUCGAUGUAUAGAAGUGUGUUUACCAAUCCUCUACUUGCAGUGUGCAUAAUUAAAAGUAAAUCCACCUUUGCUUAUUUGAUUAUGACUUCGUAGUUCUAACACAACCUACAAAUAAUAAGCAUCUGUAGUUCCAACACAGCCGCCAUAUAAUAAGCAUUGGUAGUUUCAACAUUGUCUAUACAUAGUAAGCAUAGUGAAAUGGUGUAGUAGAAAAAAAAAAUUAUAAAACAUUUUAAGAAGGGAAACAAAACAAACAUCAUUGGAUAAAAACAAUCUAGAACUAACAUGAAAAGAAAACAGAGGAAAAAAAACAAAUGAAACAAAAGCAAAACUAAAAGAUGAGCAAGAACAAGCAAGAUCAAAAGAGAUAUAUAAGAGUAAAAGAGAGGGAAGAAAAAUGUGGUGCACAACCCAUCAUUGUCUAAAUGAUCAAAAGGUUGUAGCAUUUCCAGCUUUUGCUCUAAAGAACAACUGAAUAGCUAGAAAGAAAAGAAAAGUACAAGAAAAGUGAGAAGAUAUAAAGAUGAAAUAGCACAUUGGUUUGAUUUGAAGCAUUAAGUAAUAAAAUGCCCAACAAUAUGUAAGGAAGUAGAAACCAAAAUAAAAUUAUACCAAAUUCAAAAUAGUUCCAUAAAUAAAGUCAAGAAGAAUGACCCAUCCAACGAACACGAAAUCCCCGAAAAUAUGUGUAACUCAGUAGCUAUCGGUAUUUUGUAAAUAAAGAAAAGAAAGUGAGAAACAAUUCAAAAAAAAGGAGGAGGAGGAAUGUAUAGCUAAUUAAGAAACAAGAAAAGAAACAAAGGGCAAGGCCGCAGGAGAAACCCAUAACUGUGAUAUACGAACUUUCAAGAACACUUUCAAAACCCAGCAACCAAAAGCAAAAAAAAAAAAAAAAAAAAAAAAAGUGAAAAAGAAGAGUACACCCCUAAAAUGCCAAUUUUGAAAGGCGCACUUGAGAGAAUAGCAUUAACCUACUAUAAAAAUUAUCAUGAAAGAUAGCAAAAUGAGAAGGAUAUCAUAAGAAAUCAAAUUACGUCAUAGAAAUAUAACAAACUUGAAAGAAAAUCAACGCAAGAAACUUUUGGAGAAACAAAGAAAGUAGGAAAUUCGAAUUACACAAAAUAUGAGUUGUUGUAAGUAAUUGCAUAUUUGAAUCUAAAAAACAAAAGUCAAAAUUAAUUAGACAAAUUGAAUUACAAAAGAAAAUGACUACUUUCAAAAGAUCCAACAUCCUUGACAAAGUUCUUGAAAUAAAGUAAACCUACAACUUGCAUAGAUAUACCUCAUUCAACUUCACAACAAAGUUAGAGAAUUCAUAUAUACGUGGCAAUUUUAAAUGCAUAAAUACAGUCAGCAACCAUAAAUGUGUCAUCACCUGAUGCAAGAAGCUCAGCAGUCAUACACUACACAGUAAUUAAAGUUGGGAAAUAGUACUACUGUGAACCAACACAAUUUCAUUUUGCAAUCAUCUUCACAAAAAGUAAAAGGGUCAAGCAGUUUGCUCAAUCAAAAGCACUCUAUGAAUCAAACAAUUAUACUCCCAUGCUUAAAAUAUGCCCUGCAAUGACAAGAAUAUUCAUAUUAAAUUAUGAAUAUUUGUAUUACAUUAUGACCAAAGAGGUGUCAUUUUGUAGUAUGAUUGGAUAAAUUUAAUAUAACAAAUCUUACAUAAUUUAUAUCAAAAUUCUUUUUGAGCAAACAAUUUAUCUUAAUUCCACACUCGUUGACAUCUAAAUGUAUUAGAUAUCUGAUGUCACGCCCCGAGCCCGCCUCUUUGGUCGGAUUUGGGCACGCCAACAGACCGCCGAACGGACAUGGUUUUUUCUGUACCGCGGACAGAGUCUCCCCUGUACGUCCAAGGCGUCACAAUCCAUACAAUGCACGAGGUUCCAACUAGGAACAGCAUUCAACAAAGAUUGCAUAAGGAAGGUAUGCAAACAUAAAUACUAUGCUAUUACAAGUAUUCAACUCACAUACUUUUUACAUAUUACAUUUUCAACUCUCAAUUAGCUUCCAAAAACAAUCCAAGUUACUACAAUUUAUUACAACAUUGUUCUUUUCUUUUCUAUACCCCUAUCUAAGCCGACUCGGGGUACUACUAUCUCUGGUCUCGGUGGUAAGGCGCUAUCUACGGAACUACGCCCUUAUCUCGCGCCGCCGCGCCGCUUACGUGUGAACCUGUACCCCCAAAAAUAACACGAGGGUGAGAACUAUUGUCCAUAUAUAGUUCCCAGUGGGUACGGCCACCCAAGGAAAAAGCUCGACCCACCAGGUCCAAAGAAGGCACUGCAAACAUAUUAGUCUAACCAAUAUUCACAGAUAUAUAAUUUAUGCAACUAACAUUAUCAUAUUCAUGCCUCACAAUAUGCCACAUGCAAAUUAUGCAACUAUCCAAGUAGAUUAAUUGGUUCUACUCUUAUUCUUAGCCAUUCAUUAAUAUUAGCCAUACUUUAUUCUUUGUUCUUCACUAAGGAUACUCACACCUUAGACAUAUUAUACACAAUUACCACUCUUUCCUAAGGUUAUUUUACCUUAGCCAACUAUGCCACUCGACUGGGUCUUCAGUCAAUCAACUGCGGAUAAUCUGCUCUCUGUCAGGCUCGAGGCGAAGGACAUCUCACAUGCACCUCAGCCUUAAAUCCUCUUGACUAUAGGUCUGCUCACAGGGUGAGGAUAUACCGUCGAACCCCAGACCACAAGUCGCUGAAUGGACCUACGAGCGAGGAGAACCACAUGUACCCGCGUCCCCAAUCUCAUACUCAUACCGGGCGAGGAGAAUCACACAUACCCGCUGAGUCACUGCCAGGCGAGGAGAACCACACAUACCCGCAGUUACACUUCACUUGCGCUCGGUCGCAAGUCUCUUUCGCUGCACUAGCAGCAUUCAUUCCUAGGGAUUCCGAAAUUCACUUUCAUAACUCUAGGGUUGGUCUCACCCUAUAAUAUCGACCCAUCUAGGUCCAAGCCUUUACUUAACCUAGUUUAAUACUUUAGGUUCGUUGCCACUAUGCUCAUAGCCUGGGUUCAUUAACACUAGGCUCCAUGUUCUUUACUACCUAGGCCCAUUUGACUCUAGAUUCAAUGUCACUCUAUUCAUAACCUAGGCUUACUUAACUCUAGGUUCAAUUCUCCUCCUAUGUUUAAUACAUUAGGUUUAAUGCCACUCGUGUUCUUAUUUUCCUAGUUGUCCACAUGUAAGAAUUAUAGUUGACAUGCCACUCAUGAAUCACCUAUGUUCAAUGACACUAGGUUUUAUUGCCACUCUCGUCCUUGUUAUUUAUACUUAGGAUUCUUAGUUUACAAGCUAUGCUUGUCGAGUUCUUUACUCUACUUAGAGUUCAUCGAUCUAAGUUCUCAUUUUCCAAGGAUGGUCCAUACACAACAAUACUUGCAUUCAUGUAGUAUUUAAUUCAUGCACUAACUUAGCAUAUACUCUAUACAUUCAUUUACACUUUUCGCAUGCAUUUAUUAAUAUCAUCUCAUUCAUGCAUUCUUUAGCCUCUACUUCAUGCACUUAUGUAACAUCUCAUGGAAGGUAAUAACAUCAAGCAUAAUAUGAUUUAUGCAUUUCAUAUUAUCACAUAUAACCUACCAACUACACAUGCAUCAACAAUAUUCACACUUCACUUUGGCAUGGAAGUGAGCUAAAUAUUUCGAUGAGCACAACCCACCUCAAAUCGCUUUUCGAUUGUUUGUAAUCACUUGCAAUCGGCCUCCCGCGGCACCCGUUGCUCGGUUCAGCCCGAACUCGCACUCGACCACCAAACGGCCACCAAUCCACAAUCCGAAAAUUAAAGGUCUAUAACUUGAUGUCACGAUGCUCUGGAUCCGUUCUCGUGAUUUUUGGACGUGGCCUCGGCCCUCUAGGUGGAAACGAAGCCGAAACGUCCGUUUCUUAAAUAUCUUCACGUAGGCUUGACGAAUCGCCGAACCGAUCGCCAACGCGUUGGAAAUACCUUCAAUUAGGUUUACAUAUGGUCAAUAUACAUUUAAAUCCAUCUAUGACAAAAGUUUCAAUUUUGGUGCUCUAACAAUGCCAUAUACUCAAUAUCUCGUUUUGAUCUCUAAAACAAGCAAAAGAGAGCUUGUUCAACAUCUAGGAACUCAUCUAGAACCAUUUAAACCAUUCUUAGGGUGUUUAGAACAAACCCUAGAAAUCCACAAUGAGAGCACUAUGAAGAAAACAUGGUUUUCAUGUGUUCUAUGAUCUUAACAAGGUUUCUACUCUUGUAAGAAGAUCAAAUCCAAAAGAUUUUGGGUGUAAAACCAAACCCUAAUAUCAUUCUUACAAGAAACCUUACCUUGGCCCAAAGCUCACCAAGCUACACCUUAUAGGAGAGCCACCAAACCCUUCAAAAGCUCCAAUCUCCACUUGAUCUUCUCCAAAUCCACCUCUAACUCGCCUUGGUAGAGUGCUUCUAGAGAGAGAAAGGGAGAGAAAUGAGAGAGGAGGGAUGCUCUCAGCUGGGAACAAGAGAAAAUAGGGGUUGGGGGCUUAUAUAGGCUGCUACAAUAGCAAAUAAGCCCUCAUUCUUUUCAUAUUUGCAGCAGACCAACCUGCUGUUUUCGCAGCAUUGUGUACCGGUACAUAUCAGCGGUGUCACCGGUAACACGAUCUCGCAAAACCAAACCCGAAAGCAGCUUCUUGGGUUUUUACACUGUGUACCGGUACACUUUUAAUCUGUCACCGGUUAACAACCUUUUCAGAACUUUGCCAAUUUUUUCAGUUUUUCUCCGUUUUCGCUCGUUUUUGCUCGUUAGGCCUUCGAUUCAUCUCAAAUCGCACCAAGACCCCCAAAACAUGUUUUCAAGCGUGUCUCAACCAUCUUUUCAUUCACGCUUAUGCCCGAUUUAAUCCAUGGUCCAACAUAUCCUUUCGGGUUCCGUUUUCACGCCCAACGCGCACCGAAACCCCCGAAUGCUCCCUAACCUCAAUCUCGUAUUGUUUCGACUCUAAUUCGCGCCGAGCAAUGCUAAAACCUUUCCAACUCUCCUGGAACUCAACUUUAACCCUUCCAACAUUGUUCGAAUGUUAAAUGAACUUUGUCCAACUAUUUCUUUCGCACACUUUAUUCAAUUUGACUAAAGCUCGAUAUAGCUUACCGAAGUUCCAGUAUGUUACAUCUGAACUGGGUUGUGCCAAGUAUUUAAGAACUAGUAUGGAGUAAGCUCCACUACCAACCCAUCAACGCGUAUUCAUUUUCUAUAUUUUUUUCAGUGGUCCAGGGAUUUGGGUCCAACAAAGUUGGGUUAAGGUGCUUAAGAAAAAAGACUUGAACAUAUUCAAUUUAAUAUGUACAUUUGAAAAUAUAAUGGACUUGACCAAUUGAUGCAUUAGUUUCGAAUCUGACCCAACUUGCUUCUCGCCGACCUAAUAGAAAUCAGCCCAAGAAAGUUUGAUUGUACCACUGCCCGAGCUUUGUUAGCAAUUAUGCUCUGAAGACUUGAAUAGGCUAGCAUAGCCUGUAGGCCUUAGCUCCCGUUUGGUUGGGGGUUAAGGGGUGGAAUAACCCCUUAACCCCCAAUUUAUACCCAAACAACAGCAUUUAGGGGUGGGGUUUACUAACCCCACCCCCCCUCCCCGCUUUAUCCCCGCACGGCUCCCAACGCCCUUCCACUUUUCCUUUUCUCCCCUGUUGAUCAUUCCCCUUCCUCCUCUGUUGAUCGUUCCCCUUCCUCCCCGUUCUCACCCCGAAGCCCUUCACUCCGGCUUUCCCCUUCCUCCCCUUUCUCACCCCGAAGCUCUUUCACCGCUGGAUCUGCCUCCUCCCGAAGCCCCUCCACUCCGGCCGAAUCCCUUCACCUCUGACCCGAAGCCCUUCCCCAAAGCCCCUUCACAUCCGCCCGAAGCCCUACACUGCCGGCGGAACCCCUCCACCUCCGGCUUCACCGCCGGCUUAACCCCUCUACCACCGGCUUCACCUCCGGCCGAAGCCCUUCACCGCCACCUACGGCUUCACCUCCGCCCGAAGCCCUUCCCUUCCGGCCGAAGCCCGUUACCGCCGGCCGAACCCCUUCACCUCCGGCUUUCCCUCCGCCCGAAGCCCUUCACCUCCGCCCUUACCUCUUCACCGCCGGCCGAACCCCUUCAUCUCCGGCUUCACUUCUGCCCGAAGCCCUUCACUGCCGGUCGAACCGCACCACCUCCGGCUUCACCUCCGCCCGAAGCCCUUCACCGCCACCUCCGGCUUCACCUCCGCCCGAAGCCCUUCCCUUCCGGCCUAAGCCCGUUACCGCCGCCCGGACCCCUUCACCUCCGCCUUCACCUCCGCCCGAAGCCCUUCCCUUCCGGCCGAAGCCCUUCUUCCACCUCGUCGAUUUGUUGGUUUCUUUGUAGAUUUGUGGAAUGCUUGUUGGUCUCGGUUAAGGCCCGUUCCUCGACAUCUUCGUCGUAGGGAAGGCGUUGUGUUGCCACCCUUCGGUCUUCGGUUCUGAUUUUGCCAACAGUGUACGGAUUCCCCGCCGUUGCGUGCUAUCGAUCUGACUGUCGCGCCUUGACUAUCUUUGUGCUUGGUUCUGGCCAUUUCUGAAUUUGCUAUCUUUGCGAUAGACAGGUUUGAUCUCCAUGUUUACUGUUGCCAUAUAUAGCGUUUCUGUAUAUCCAAUGCCGUUGAAAGAAUAUCAUCUAUUUGCACAAUGAUUGGUAUAACGUACAUGAUGUUGAUCUGAGUAUACUUGAGAAUAUUAAGUAUUGGUUGGAAGCUUGUGGUUCGGCGAUGAUGACGGAUUCUAAUUAAGAUUAGAAGGAUGGCAUCGAUGGAAACAUCAAUGCAACCCCAUGUUAGUUGGAAUCCACUUGAGCCAAUUGUGGGAACGAACCAUCAAGACUCCCAUUUAGGGGACCAUACAUUUUUACAAUUCUUCACAAAUAUUGCAUGAAAUAUCUACUCUAUCCAUGUUUUUAUUAUAUCAUUCUACCCUUUAUUAUAUAUAGUCUACUUGGUAGUAGAGAAAAAUAAUUGCAUUAGUAUAUUGUGUAUGCAAUGCUUAUACAUUAUGUAAUUACUAACCCCUCCAAUUUAAAUAGCAUGUAAUAUCGUAUAUACGUUCUAUGCAUCCAUCAUGCACCGUUUUUAAUUAUUAACUACAGAUGCGUCCAUUCAAGAAAGUUUCUAAGUCCAAACAGAAGCAACAUGGGCUCGCUGAUGAGUCACCUAUUGAGCCUAGCGGUGGCAUUCGUAUUGAUACAAGAACUAGAAGUCAAAAUUGGAGCAACAUUUUGGAUGCACAAUUGUUGGGGCUUAUGAGAGAUGAACAUACAUUUGGUAAUUGUGGAAAUGGGUCAUUCACUCCGAUUGCGUGGAAGCGGGUGGUAAAUGAGUUCAACAGUCGAAACAAUAUGAACCUAACAAAGACGCAAUUGAAGAAUCGAUUUAAAGUGUUAAAAUUUUUUUUCAAUUUGUACCAUUCUCUUGCCAACAAGAGCGGGUGGGGAUGGAACACUGACUUGCACAUUCCCACACCUGGUGACGCAAGAAUCUGGGAUUCUGUUAUAGCGGUAAUUACAAUUUCUUUUAUAAUAGCGUUACUGUCUUAUUAAGACAUGUACAUUAUAUGAUAGUAUUAAAUUGUUAAUAUUAUUACUUCAGGAGAAUCCAGCGUACGCCAGGUGUAGGGAUAAGCCCUUUCCCGCCUAUAAUGACAUGGAAUUUCUUACCCAAAAUACAACUGCGACUGGAAGAUAUGCAUUUACAAGUGCUGUGGAGCUUCCCCCUAUAAUUGAAAGCUCCUCUCGGUCAUCCCCUGGUGAGGAUGAUACUAUUGCUGGCUGCGGAAUGUCAGCUUGUAAUCUCUCAUCGGACCCAUUCGAAGCAGGAACUACAACAAAACUGAGCUACAGCGACACUUUUAAGUGUCCCUAAAACUUAAAAAAAGUGCUGCUAGCAAAAAUACCGACACUAAAAAAAGUGUCGCUAUAUGUGCAGUCCCUAGGGUAUAUAGCGACACUUAAAAAAGUGUCGGUAUAUCCCAAAAUAAGUGCUGCAAUUUAGUGGCACUUUUUUUUAGUUUUAGUGACACACAUAAGUGUCCCUAAUUUUUUUUUAAAAAGUAAUAUUUUUUUUAUAUAGUGACACACAUAAGUGUCCCUAAUUUUUGUAAAAAAGUAAUUUUUUUUUAUAUAGUGACACUUUAUAAGUGUCACAUUGUCAUUCAAAGUAUAAUAUUUUAUUUAAACAUCUAGUCUCGUAUUAAAAUUUAGUUAAACUAAUCACAUAUACAUUAAAUCUAUGAGACUCAAAAAAAGCAAUCAACAAAGUUUCUUAAAUUCUCGUUAAAAUGAUAAAACUAAAAUCAAAUAUCCAUAUAUCGCAACAAUAAUAUCUACUCAUAUGCUGCAGUAAUUAUAACAAAUCAAACUAUCUAACUGAAAGAAAUACAAAAAAUUAAAAAUUGUUUGAUAACAAAAAUCUAAAAGUGCAUAAACGAAUUCUGAUUGGCCCCACGACUAUAUACUGAAACCUGCACAUUGAAUAACAUUUGAAUUAGUUCAAAUUUGUACAACAUCCUUGAUUUUGCCAAAACAUUUAAAAAAAAAGAAGAAAGAAACUCUUGUUGAAAUUCUAUCACAUGCAUCUAUUAACAAAGUGUACACAAUUGUUGCAGAACUUGAACUAUAACGGAGCUUUGACCAACAAAAUAUAAAGUACAGUAAAUAUAGAAAGUAGAAAUACCCCCAAAAUUCAAUGUAUGUAGUUAAAAUGUAGCUGUAAGAUACACAUCUAAUGAACUAGUAAAUGGAUUUGAAAAGCUAUUUUUGGCUCUUGGGGUUUAAAAGAACUGCACUAAUUAAUUUUGAAGAACUAUAUAUANGCACGAAAAGAAGAACGACAGGUUACAUUGAGCCACUAAACUGUACAAUUAUUAGUUCAAAUCGAUAUCAAAUAACAAGUUCAUGGUGAUCUUGGUAGAGAAAAUAAAUUAUAUUCCUUUUUCUCAUACAUCGUAAUACGAAUUUGAAAACCUUUGUUCUUAAAGAAUUUACUCGAGAUUGAUUGUUAACGUAAACCACCAGCAUUGAUCAACACAACUUCUCCUAAUUCAUCAGGCGGUAACAAGAUGGAUGUUGAAAAAUAACGUGAUAACACAUCAACUAUACAUCGACAUAUAUUGUAAUAACAAUAAAACCAAAUCUUGGUUUGAGCAGGGAGAGGAGCCAUAAAACGAUUUUGAUAUAUCACCUAAACAUAUAUAUAUGUAUAAGGUGUUGCUCUGUUAAGAACAGGGGAAGGUUGACAUCACUAGAUCCACUCCUUAAAGUGUGACAGUACGAACGUGGUGCAGUAGUUAUUGUUUAAUUAAUAAAAAAAAAAAAUUUAUUUUCAUAUUAUUUUUAUAAAAGAAUAUUAGUACUAUACUGUAUAUAAAAAAUUUUUUUUAUAAAUUAAUUAAACAAUGCAGUGUAGUAGUUAUAUAAGCAACAUAAAAUUUUAAAAAGCUAGGUCCAUGCUACGUACCGUUUUACCGACGUAUUUUCAGUGAUAAUUUUAAAAAGCUAGGUCCAUGCUACGUACCGUUUUACCGACGUAUUUUCAGUGACAGUGUAGGGCAUAACUACACAUUACUACGAAUUAGCGAGCAUAAACAUCAAAUUUAGUGGAAUUUGGUGGAAAAUAACCGAUCGUAUAGCUUCCGACAAAAGGUUAUAAUCUUGAUAAAAAAAAAAAAAUCAACGUACCAUAAAUAAUUUCGUCAAGAUUUUGGUCAAGUCUAAAAAUAUCGUUAUCAAUGAAUUACAGCAUUGAUCACUUCUGUAGGCGCAUAAUACCGCCUGGCUAAUAUAUUGUUUAUUUAUUUUUUUUCAACUUCUUUCUUCUUUGCUAUCUUCACAUUCUUUAAAAAAAAUUUUUUUUUUCUCGGUUUCUUAAUUUUUUUUAUUUUCAUCUUUUCUAGCUUCUUUUUCGUCUGUGUCGACGUCAUUUUCAUAUUCUUAUCUCAUAUCCUUGUUAUGUUCUUUUAAUUUUUAUUUAUAAUAUUAUUAUUGUUUAAUAUAAAUAUUAUCGUCAUUUUCAUAUUAUUUUUAUUUUCUUUGAUUUUUUCUUCUUAAUCCUCGUUGUCUUCAUUUUUUCAAUCAUUUCUUUUUUUCUUCUUUAUAAGACAUCUAGCUAUCCAACAUUUUCUUUUACAAUACGUGAUAUAAAGACUUUAGUAUAAUAUUUUAAAAUUUAAUAUAUUAAAAAAAUAUAACUAAUUUAAUAUAUAUAAUUUAUAUUUAAAAAUAGAAUAUUAUAAUUAUAAAUUUUUAUUUAACAUGUUGUUUUUUACUCAUUCUUUCUAAAUGCUUUCUCUUAAUGCAACCUUUUUUUUUGCGGUUAUAUUCUAUUUUUCCUCAACUUAACCUUUGUUUUUUAUUUAUUUAUUUUUAUUUUUUGGGUCAAGUUUAGUUACACCUUGGAGGUACACCUAAACUUGACCGGUAAGCCGAGGUGCACCUAAACCUCGAGUUCAAGUAUAUGCAUAUAUUUGAAUAUUUUUUUUUUUUUUAACUGUAUAAAAAAAAAAAAAAAAAAUUCUCUAUCCAUCGUAUGCUAGGCGAAGCAAAUAAAGUAAAUCUUAGCAGAUAAAGUAAAUCUUUAUUUGAAUCGACCUUUAUACUUAGUUGAUUUUAAGUUUGAAUCCAGAGCUCAUGGUUGGCGUUUCGGGAAACGGUGAACAAGAUCCCUGCCAGCCAUUGUAGAAAAAACAAUCAAGUAUAUGGAACAUGUCGAGUGGAACAUGUCAAGUAUAUGGAACAUGUCGAGUGGACUAUAAGGUACUAUACUGCUAUUCUAAUGGAAAACCAAUAAAGAAUAAUCUAACUAGAAAAUCUAUAUAACAUAGCUUAGGAUUGGGUACGGAGUACUAAUUAGCCGCGCGGACACCAAGCGUAAAUUGUAUAUACCACCUGGUCCUACUCCGUUUUUAAGGAACACUGAACCUCACGAAUCGAAGUCUAAUAAAAAAAAAAAGAAAGAAAACAUUAAGAAAAGAGAAUCCGAAGCAAACCUAACACCCCUCUAACGCAAUAUGGAUUAUAAUGCAAGGCGUAUAGUGCUACUCAGCCAAUGUUAUACAAAAGACGCCAGGGUGGCCUCUUAUGUCUUCGUAUAAGGAUAUAUGAAAAAGGAGUUGAGGUAAGAUAGAUUAUCGCAAUCUAUCCGGAGUUACAGUUUUAUUUGGAAUUAACGAAGUUCUUGUCAUAUUAUGGUACACUGGCGUUAACUUAGGUUGAAAAUCAGCGGGAAAUUAGUGAGAAAAAAGUAAAAAGACCACGAAAAAGGAGAAAAAAUAAAGUGGAAGAGAGAAAACACUUAACAAAGAAAGAGAGUAAAAAGCGAGGAGGAGAAACAAACAUAACAGAGUAAACUACUGAGAGAGAGGGGAUGGUGGACCUGGGGGAUAUAAAAAUACAUCAAAAGUGAUUUAUGAGCUAGUUUUAGGAUCAACAAUUAAUUUUAAAUAAAUAUAAUAAACAAUCAGGGUCACCAGUGGCGUAUGCUCCUCCACCAAAAGAUAUAUUGUCAUCGUAGUAUCGGUUAGUUUAGAGAAUAACACUAUUUAUUAGUAUUAUUAAAAAAAAAUUUUUUUUUUACUCUACUCACUUAGAGUCCCGUUUAAACUAAACGAUCUCUGUCUAUUAUAUAUGAUAGUAUAAAAUUUUAAAAAGCGCGUGUAUCUGAGUAAAAACCUGACGUUUUUUUAAGAAUAAAAUGUAUACAUAAAUAAAUAAAAUAGACGCCGACGACGAUGACAAAUUACAACGUUGCCAGGGCUCGGCAGGUUAUUUUUUAAAUGUUUAUGGUUCAUGAACCAUUAAAAUGUUCGUGGUAUAUAUCGACUUGAGAGAGAGAGAAAGAGAUAGAGAGAGAUAUAUAUAUAUAUACUCUUUUAUAUUCCUUUUUGAAGUUUAUGGGGGGAUACCAAAACGUGAAGGAGUGAAAUCAUAGGAUACCAAAUUUCACAUAGUUCAAUCAUGGUAUACCAAAGUGUGAAAGAGUGAAAUCAUGGUACACUAAAUUUCACAUAGUUCAAUCAUGAGAUACCAAUAAAAACAUAGUUCAAUCAUGGGACACCAAAGUAAAAAGAGAAAAAUAGUAAGUAAAGCCCCAUAAAAAAGCAAUUUAGUCACUGUUUUAAUUUUGAUUUUUCAUGAUUUUACUUAUAAACUAUUUGAAUCCAUUCUAUAAACUUCAAAAAACAUAUAUUAAAUUGCUUUAUAAUUUGGUAUCCCAUGAUUUCACUUUUUCACGCUUUGGUGUCCCAUGAUUGAACUAUACGAAAUUUAGUGUCUUAUGAUUUCACUCUUUCACGCUUUGGUAUUCCAUGACUGAACUAUGUGAAAUUUGGUAUCUCAUGAUUUCAUUUUUUCACACUUUGAUGUACCAUGAUUGAACAAUACGAAAUUUGGUGUCCUAUGAUUUCACUCUUUCACGCUUUGGUAUCCCAUGACUGAACUAUGUGAAAUUUGGUAUCUCAUGAUUUCUCUUUUUCAUGCUUUGGUAUAUCAUGAUUGAACUAUACAAAAUUUGAUGUCUCAUGACUUCACUCUUUCACGCUUUGGUAUUCCAUGACUGAACUAUAUGAAGUUUGAUAUCUCAUGAUUUCGUUUUUUCACGCUUUGGUGUACUCUCAUAAAACUUCAAAAAGGUUUUAUAUUCAAAUAAAAUCAAAGUUUCAAGAAAAUAUUCUCGAGAGAGAACGGAGGAUAGCAUCACUUUUAGUAAAUUUAGUUUGAGUAUGCCAAACUUUUAAUGCAUUUAGUGUUAGCAUUCUAAAAUUUUAGAUAAUGAAGCCAUAGUUUAUAAAGUUUUUGAGUUACCAGUUAUUUGUUUUUUUCAAUCAUACAAUUUUACAUAUAUUUAGAAACUUUAAAACAUUUGAUAUAAAUGAUUUAAUAUAAAAAAUAGAAUUAUAAAAAUAAUCUUGAUCCGAUGAUACGAUAAGUAUCGUGGUUCAGCAACCACGAUGGUUCAAAAACCGGUAACCUAAUUCUCUACACACCAAGCCUACUACACCCGGGGGAUCCCAACUCACCUACCAACCAACUUAUCAUACUAGAUUGCCCACUUUUACUAGGUUUACCAUCUAGAUUGCCGCCUUUUGAACUAUCGUAGUUCACGAAGCACGAUAAUUAUCGUAUCAUCGGCCUGAGAAAAAUAAUAUAUAGCUCAUGUCCGUUAUUAAAGAGGGUGCAUAGAGAGAGAGAGAGAGAGAGAGAGAGAGAGAGAGAGACCCAGGUUCCCUGUUUAGUACAUGUUAACAUCCCUUUAUACGUAGUUUUCGUAUGUUUAUAGAUUGAUAUAUAACACCCAUUUUCUCCGUAUAUGCUACUCGAAGACAGGUUGCUUCUUUUUUCUUUUUUGACCUUUUCAUUAGUUACUACUACCAGCAUAAUCUCACGUGGUAAGUAAGAGGAGAGUACUCUUUUUUUUUUUUUUCUUUUUUCUUUUUUCAAGUUGAACACCGAAAUAAGAAACGAAGACAAACCGGGAACAGAUUGAAAGAAAAACUAUCGGUAAAUCCAGGUCCAGUUCGUUUUUGUUAAGUAGAAAGGAAAAAAAAAAAAGAAAAAGAAAAAACCAAAAACAAUACAUCGAUAUAUGUGUGAGUGUGAGUGUGUGUGAAAUUAUGAAAUAAUUAUUUGGUGGAACCACAACAUGAGUAUAUAUCUAGUGUUAAUGCAUGCACAUGCCUGUUUCUCACUUUCUUCAAGUUCACGUAGGAAGCAUUUUAUAAUGCUUCAUUUUAACCCUCGGGUAGUAACAACACAAAUAAAACUAGUAUAUUAACACCCAUUAUUUAACGAAAUAAGAAGUAAAAUGUAGGGUUUUAUAAGACUUUUUUUUUUUAAUAUAAGCUCAGUGCUUUUACUUGUGUUUUCUAUAUACAUCACAAAUUAAUUAUCAAAUCCCAAAGCUUCUUGGUUAUAAUAGAGCGUAUUAUAAUUUCCUCUAAAAAUCAAAUCUAAGGUGAUCAGAAUAUCAAAAGAAUUCAAGAACCUCUUAAAUACAGCAUUCAUAUAUAUAAAGUGGUUUAUCAAACGACCCUUCGUUUAAGUGGUUGGUAGAAAAAUAUAAGAAAAAAAAUUUUUUUUUUUACGAGAAGCGGAUUCUUUUUCUAGAUCUCACAUGGAAAUGAAAUGAUCUGUGGUUCGUUGAUUAUUUAACGAAUAAAAAUCCCAUUUACUGUGUGUGAUACUGUAUAAGUACUCGUUUUUUAAUGUUUAAUUUUUAAUUAAUAUAUAUGGACCAGGGUAAUUCAAAAGUUAUAGUAAAUAAAGGGUUAACCGGGGGUAGUAUUUUAAGAUGUUUGUGUAGGUGUAGUAGAUGAGUGGCCCUAAAGCUAGAAAACGAAAGUAAAUAGUAGAUCAGGAACAAAGCGUGAACGUAUAAGUUUGCUCUGGUACGAAUUAUAUAUAAACGCUGUUCAUUAAUUGUAUUAGAAUAAUAACGAAUAAUGGAUGGAUUGGACAUGUUUUAUCAAAACCAGGUAAUUUACAGCACGAGCAAAGCGAUAGAAAAAACCUAAAAAACAAAAGUAAUCGAGAAUAAAAGGAGUUUUAAUAGGUCAAAAAAACAAUAAUGGUAAAAAACCAUUUAAACGUAUAAAGGAGACAUUAAACAUCAAUAGUAAGCAACUAACCACAAUCAACUGGCAAACAUUAACUAGAAAAUAGAUAAAAAGUUUACAAUGUUAUAAAAAAGUACGAAUAAUAAUAAACGUGCUUUUAUACGAUCUCUCUAUUUUGCACGUGUAAGAGUGAGGGUUAUUAUAUAUCUACUGAUUUAAUUUCAUGCUCCCAAUUCAAAUGAUGAACUACAAUUUUUCUAUGCAUUCAACUAUAACUAGUGUGACCUCAUUCAUAAUUUAUCCAAAAUUUAUGCGUCCUUAUAUAUUUAAACAGGAAAAGAAAAUUGGAAAGCUACGCAGUCAACAUGCCAUUGUUUCGAGAACAUACGUUUUUUAAAUGCACCUGGAGGUUUUAUGGACAUCGCACUGGUACACUUUUUUUUUUUUUUUUUUUUAGAUAUAUAUAUAUGCAUGCAUUUUCGUUGUCUCUUUUCUUUUGAGGUAGAGAAAUAUAAAGGUAAGGUAAGGUCGAGGUUUUGGUAUUAAAUAGUGGGUUUUGUUUGUAAAAAAAAAGAUUUUUUUUCUUUUUUUUUUCUUCUUUUUCGAUCAGCUAGCGUGUGACGGUUCAUUUAAUUUAUGUUAUUUAUUUUUCAUUUAUAACUAAUUUGUCUUAAUCACCACGCAUUUCACGUACCUUCUCCAGCUCAUUCGUUCCUUGCCUAGAAAACGAAAACGCUCAACACUACUUGAUCUUCGUCGCAGAAAUAGGGGUGUUCAUUCCGAGGAGUUAGGCUUUGAGCUGCGGCGGCGGCGGCGUCUGCGUCAGCGGCUACAGCUGCAGGAGGCGGUUCCGUUGCCACCGCCAGUGGGUGCCGCUUAACUUCGGCUUGGGCAGUGCGUCCAGCUCCUCCUCCAGGCCGUCCCGCUUCUCGCUCCGCAGCAGCAGCCGCCGUCGUCUCAGCCCGGCCAGUUGCCCGGCCUCUUACAGCAGUACCCGGCCCGACCCCGGGCGCCAGAGCUCCGGGUAACCCGGCUCUCAUGGACGCCACCGCCGCCGCCGCCGCCGCCGUCGACGCCGCCGGACCUACAGAAAUCCUCUGCGCCAAUGCCCCGCCCCCUCCAGCACCCGCUACAGCCCCUUUAACUCCACCCGGCUGCCCGGGAAUUAACGGUUCCGCCGCUGCAGCACCCGGGCCCGGCGGUAGAGCCGCCAGCCUUUGCACGGGUCGGUAUAGGCCCUGAAGAAGGCGCCGAGCGCCUAAAGCCUGUGGGUGAAGGGGGUCGAGGCGUAGGCCUGCGGGGCCAUCUGGCCCACGAAGGGCAGCGACGAGGCGAAGGACCCGAGGCCGCUAGGGGGCGACCCGACCCGGCCACCACCGGAAAACCGGGCCGAGAAGAAGCGUACGAAAAAAACUGAAAAGCUGCGACUAUUAUUAUUGACCCCAUCUAGGGCGCCGUGUAAUAAUCCUCUUCGUCUAUGGCUGCUGCUGCUGCUGCUGCUGCUAUUCCUGCUGCUGCUACUUCUUCUUCUUCUCCAACACCAGAGAAGGUAAAAUCCCUCCUCGCUUGCACGUCCACCAACGUAUCUUACCAUUCCAUACCCGAAAAUAAUUACGAGUGUACAAUAUCGUUUCCUCUCUCUCUCUCUCUCUCUCUCUCUCUCUACAUACAUUACACACACCUUUGUUUGUUAUUUUCUCCCCUCCCCCCCGGGUAUCUUUUUCCCACCCCCGUCAACCGAACAAUGAGUUCCGAAGACACUUACCGAAGUAUAACUGUGACAACAAGAAGAAAUUUCUAUUGGAAAAAAAAACACACAAAAAAAAUCCCAUUUCUUUGACACGUGUUCUCAAAAUCCUAAUCCAAACGUAUUCAUCUAUUAAUUUCCGGGGAAAAAAACAAACAAUGGUACGGUCUCGUUAUAUUCAACUAUUAACUUCCGAACAAACAAAACAAAUAAUGGUACAGAGACUUAUUGAUUCAAUAGGUUAUUAAUAAAUAAGUCAUAUUAAUCUUGAUUUCUCAUGCAAACUAAAAGUAGGCAUUAAAAGAUUCUUAUUAAAUAAAGUGGAUUUUUAUUUAAAUAAAAUAAGAUUUUUUCGAAUGAUUUAAUUCUUACUAUACAAUAAAACCUAUAAACUAAAAUGAGAAAUAGAUAAUUUAUAAUAUUUAAAAAAACUUAUUCUACGAGCUAGUACGUAGAUUUUUUCGGGAUUUACACACCGGUAAAACCCAAAUUAUAGAUGGAGUGAUAACGCGCGUGUAACUAAGUAAUUAUAAUCAUCAACUCUGUAAAUAAUUUCUGGUUCAGUUUAACUUACAACUAACUUUUUCAUAUUCAUUUUCCCUUUGGGGUAAUUAAAUGACAUUUAAUACAUUUUACGAAUGCUCCGAAACCUAAAAUUAAUACAAUGAAAAGGUUGUUACAAAUUCACAUCAGUUAUUAAAUUAACAAUAUACGAAUGUAUGUAUAUGAGUAAAAACAAAAAUGUUUAUAUAUAAACCCUCUAUUUAUUCGAUAAACAUUAUUAAUUAAACCAUUCUCUACUUCUUGGUAUGGUCUAGAUUAAUGGUUGUCUACCUUUAUUAAGAUUAGAAAUUUGGUUAUUAACCCUGUUUUAAACUCACCAUCAAGGGUUGCCGCGAAAGAAUCCUUCUGAGGCUAUACGAUAGUAUACAAUUAAAAUAUAUAUAUAUAUAUAGAAUUUUUUUUAAUUAAUAUCAAAAAGAAUAUAUAUAAACUUAAACAAAAUCUAGGCAACAUCUCUUUUGCUAGGUACGCAAUUAAAAGAUACACAUUUCGUUUUAUAAAGAGAAUAAUUCGUUACAAUUAGGAUGUUGGGUUUAACUAAUUGCUAUAACAUUAGAAUGUUGGAGUAGUUCUCUGGUGUAGAAAAUAGAUAUUAGAACAGUGAAAGAUAAAAAAUAUUAUGUUUUGUGGUUUUAUUUUUUUUUGAGAGCUCUUCUCCUAAUGUUGGGAACCUACCUCUAAAUAUUAGAAUAUUGGGAGACAACCGUAAGCCAAUUUAGUUUAGCCCACGCAGGUAUUAGCUCGAGCUAGGCUACCUAUAAUACAAUAGAUUAACCUAAUUCUAAUUAGAGCGAAAAUUUAACCUUUCGAUUAAUCUUUAUUUAAGAUUAGUAUAAUCCUAUUAUUAAAUAUUGAUUAAAACGGAAUGGAGAAUGCGAUAACCUUAAAGUUUUAAGGAAUAUUUAUACACCCGAUAGAGUGUAUUUUUAACUACCUACUACUUUCUUGCCUUUUUCUUUCUCUUAUUCUUUUAUUUUCUCUCUUUGAUGUAGGAGGUAAUUGGAUAAUAAGAUUCCCCUGAACUUGCUAACUAAACGCUAGCACGAGCAAAUAUCAAGCUAAGUGGCGCCUAAGCCUCGCAAUCUUCUGGAAGUUUUUGCUAGGUUCCUGUGCACUUAGUUGGAAAUGCUAGGCUUGAGCAGCGCAACAUCGCGCUUAGCGAAGGCAUUUUUCUAUGCUUGCUUAUGAAGGUGACGUAAAAUGUGGGAGUAAUCAAUCAUCUGAUUUCCGCAAAGAGAAUAAAGAUAACGAGGGUUAAACUUAGCAAAAAAGGUGUCGUUCAGAUUUAACCUAAGACUAAGUAAGUGUGCGCAUCAUAACUCCAUCUUAUAAAAAUCUUUAUUAUAAUAAAUGUACGAAAAAGUAAAAAGAAAUUAUCCAUAAUAAGUUCCUGAUAGUUUCAACCUUUAAUAUUAACGGGUGCGGAUUGUGUAGUAAUCUUUGCGUAUUUUUAAGUAAAUAAAAAUCUCUGCGGUUCCUUAAAGGGAACCUAAAUGCGCUCUCCCCGCACGAGGUGCACACUUUGUUACAAAAGGACAAUGACGUUGACAUGUGUUUGAGUACCUGAAUAAUUAUCAGUUGCUGAGGUUUAACUGAGCUAGUAAAAAGGUGGUAUUUAUAAUGACUACGUAAGUUUUUUGGCACACGGAUUUAAAAUUUUUUUUGAAGUUUUUAGAGGGUACACUAAAGUGUGAAAAAGUGAAAUCAUGAGACACCAAAUUUCAUAUAGUUAAACGGAGGGACACUAAAAUAAAAAUAGAGAAACCGUCAAAAAAGGAAUUGUAAAGCAAUUUAAUAUAUGUUUUUUGAAGUAUAUGGGUAAAUCUAAAUAGCUUAUAAAUGAAAUCAUGGGAAAUUAAAAUUGAAACAGUGACUAAAUCCUUUUUUUUUAUUAUUUUAACUAUUAUUUUUCUCUUUUUGCUUUGGUGUUCCUCCGUUUAACUAUGUGAAAUUUGGUGUUCCAUGAUUUCACUCUUUCACACUUCGGAGAAAUUUAAAAUAUAAGAAAUAAAUUUUUUUAAAAUUUUUAAUUAUAAAAACCUGAUUAAGAUAAAAAAAAUAUAUUAAACAUGAUUAAGAAGAAAUGAAAAUAAAAAUAAAAACCUGACAAUUAAUCUAGAGAAGUUCCCGUGAUUACUAAUCUGCAAGAUGACACUUUAUAACAUGGAAUUAACGUACCCGGGAAACUUAGAUAAAAGAACGUGGUUUGUUUUAACAAGGAUAGUAACACCACCGACUCUUGAACAUUAAACCUAGUAAGGAAACAGGACAAAUUAAUCAGGGUACAAAUUAACUAGCUUUAUUAUGAUUUAUUAUAAAAUUAAUUGUGAAAAAAUAAAGUAUAAAACUAUGUGAUUAACUUCUUUUUACCAAUGAACACGUAGAAUCUGAAUCAAACCAUAACUCCGGAUAGAUCGCAAUAAUCUAUUUUACUUCAACUCUUUUUUCAUAUAUCUUUAUACAAACAUGCAAGUGGCCACCCUGGUAUCUUUUAUAUAUAGUAUUGGCUGAGUAGCGCUAUACGUCUUACGUUAUAAUGCAUGCCUUUGUUUGUACUAUAAAAAGGUUGCAUGAAAGAGUGGCGUGCGUUAAGGUUUGCUUCGGAAUCAGAUAUGUCUACAUUUAGAAUAUAAAGAAGAUAAUUUUUUAAGUGUUGAGAAAUUUAAUUUUUUUAUUUUAAUCAUUUUUGUUUUUGUCGGAAAUCUACUCAUCCUAUAUAUAAAAUGUAAAUCAAAUCUGCACGUUAUUGCAGCGAGAAUUUUUAUUUAUUUAUUUAUUUAAGAUCCCACGAGAGGUUAAUCGAACUACGAAACUUAAUUGACACUUUUAUGAAAAGAUCAUUUCUAGAUAAAAGCUUUCCCUUGCGAAAAUAUUGAAAAAAUUGAGAAAUGGAAAAAAAAUACGAGAUUUUAUACUUCCGUUAACGUAAAUCUUUUACGUUAGGGUUUAAUGCAGAGCGAAUUAAAAAAAAGUAGAUUUAAUAUAAUUUAAAAUAUACGUGUCUUAUUAAUUUAUAUUAAAAAAUUUAAUGUCAUACUAUUUUAUUUUUAUACACUAUAGUGUACCCCUGUUUUAUAACCUCAUAUAAAAAAGUGAUGAGUGCAUUACAUCGGUUGCUCUACAUCGGAUACGUUGGUGGUUAAGAAAAUAAACAUGAACAAUAAUUAGUGUAAACAAACAUGGUUGUUGAAUAGAGGAUCGAUACCCUGGUUUUUCUUUUUAUUUAUUUAUUUAUUUAUUUAUUAAAAGCAUGUAACUAGUGUAUUAAUCGUAGAAUUUAUUCUAAUUGAUUCACAAAAGUAAGAACAUCUUUACUAGUUUAUUAUGAUAUUAUAUGUUAAUACAUCGAGAAGAUUUAAUUAAUUAAUUAAUUAAUUAAUUAUAAAAUUUUAUAGUGUAGGUUACCUAUGACGUAGUCACCGGCAUCCAACCACCACUUCUUCGACAAAAAUCUUUAAAACAUACGGAGUUAUUUAUUUUUAUACUAUUUUAACAUGUACCAAAGCUUAACUUAGAAAAUAAAACAAAAGAUAACUAUUAAAAUUUUAAAAAAUGAUAAAAUUAAAUUCAAUUCAAUAAAAUCACGAGUUAAUAACGCUAUAAUUAUCAGUUACAACCUACCCCUAACUCUCUCACUGCGAAAAACACACUUCAAAGUCUUUAAAUCUUCGUGUUCAAAUCAUAAUAUUUUAAACUCGAUCCUAAUCUUAUAAAAGAUUUUUAAUUUAAACAAUGUGAAAUUGUAGAUUACUAAUGAUCAUAAGUUUAAUAAGAUUUAAACUGUUUAAAAUUACUAAUUGUAUUUCACUUUAAUUUUGACGAGCUAGUAGCCCAUUUAUUAUAGUAUUUUAAUAUUUUAAGUUCAAAACUUCAUAAGAUUGAAAACAAUCAUUUUUAGAUAUGUUUAUACAUUUAAUAUAACUAUAAAACAUUCUUUUAUAAUCAUUAACUAGGUAAAUAAAAUUGUACAUUGAGGGAGGGGUGAACAUCACGAAACAGGUUACUACAAGAGGAUUAAAUAUACGACGGUUUUUAUAAUGGAUGUUGUUGAUAAUGAAUUUUUUAGUUAAUUAUGAGUGAAAACAACCGAAUUUGCCUAAUCGUAGGACAAUACAAUGUCCUCCAGCACAACCCAGCUCAGUAUAAGCUUUACCGCACUCCGACUCACCCGGAUCAGUACAAGCUUCACCGUACUCUAAUCAAGCCGGUUCAGUGUUAGCUUUAGGCACCCACGACAUAGACAUGCGAAAUUUACUUAAUCAACACAUAAAGAUUGUCGAGCUCGAAAACUCUAAUUACCAAUCGCGGUUGCUAGGCUGUUGAAAACCGAGCCGGCUUAUUUUUAACAAAUCCUUACCUUGAAGUUUAACAAGUAAACUCUGAUACAUGCGUCGCCGAAACUCUACUACUACUAAGAAUGCCAGAGUUUAUUUUAUUAGAUUUUAAAGUAUGAGUUUAUUAAAAACAGGAAAAGUUAUAUGUGUAAAAGUUUGAAAGGCAUCUACAAUUAAUUCGAUCAUGUUAUUUUGUUUCGCGAAAGAGCACGUCGUACUCCAUGCUUUUUUUGUUUUUUUUUUUUUUCUUUACCAACCUCUCAAAUUAUUGUUGCAAGAUAACAUUGAUGAACAACAGGGGACACUAGUGCUAGAGCAGGUAUGUCUUUAAAUGCCGGGAACAAAAGUAUUAGGUACUUGAUUUGUAUCCACAUGAUUUCUCUCGGAGAGAGGGAGUCUCCGCGAAAGGCUCUGAGUCACACAAUCAACCAAACUUUGAUGUGAAUGCUAAAUUAAUGUAUUUAGGUAAUUUCGUGCUUCCAAAAGGUGCUGGUACAAUCCUUUUGGCCUCGCAGAUAAUCGCAUGUGAUUAAUCAAAUGAAGGGCUUUUAUAGAAGAAUCCUGUGCCUCACAUCAAGCCUAUCAACUGGUGGCAUUUUUCUACUUGUCGCAAUCUGGUGUUCCCUACUGUAAGUUUAUAGUAACUAGUUAUCUUCGUACAUGUACUAUAUCACUGUCCUAAUGGGUCAUUAACAAAACAAAAGCAUAUAAAUGGUAUAAUCAGGAACAGUUGCACUUGAAUAACAUAUAAAUGGUGUAAUCAGGAACAAAAGAAUAUAUAUUUCAAUAUCUUAUUCGAAAGAGCCAUUUGAUUUGAAAAUCACUAAUUUGUUAAGCUCAAAAAUCAAAUAAAAAAAGUCCCAAGCAAAAGAGAAGGAGAAGAACUUGGUAAAUUUUAUGCAUUAGGACUCUGUAAUAAGUAAAAGAAUUCUGUGAUAUGUGAAAUAAAGACAAUUAGUCGCUAUACACAGAUGCAAAACUUCGAUAGCACCCACACAUACUUGUAAUGAUUUUGCAGAAUAACUUUUAACUAGAAUGAAGAUAGCACACAUUUUUAAUCUCAUAACAAGACUCUGCACCAGUAAUAUGAGAAAAUAACAAAAGUAUCAUGUAUAGAAACUUACAUUUCUUACAUCUGCAUCUUUCACGUCCAGAUCAGUUGUAACCAUAAUGAACUUCACCUUUGUGUUAGACAAAUAUCCAUAUCUACAAAGCAUAUAAAGCAAAAAGAAUGAAACAUGUAUCUAUUAAUUUGUUUCAUGCAGAAAAAAAAAGUAGCCUAACACAUGCGUGUCAUCACCAGAAUCAGUUUUAGUUGUAUUUUAGUAGAAUAGCUUCCUUUAGGAAGAAACUUACCAACCUGCAUUGCAACACCGAUUAGCAUUUAAUGAAAGAUGAAGCAAAAACCUCAUUGAUAGUGUGCUUUAUCAAAAAAGUGCAUGCAAAACAAUAGUCUAAAGUGUCUUAUGCAAUUAGCCAAAAGAUAAAGCAAAAAUUUUUACUAUGUUCAAGGUUUAAUGAUGGUUAGUCAGGAGGGUCAACAUACACUGCUUAUAACACCAGUAAGUUCUUGUAAUUUCUCUUCUUUUUGGUAAGAGCUAGCAUCAAUAAGUUCAUGUCUUGCAAGUUCUUUUUCAAACAAGAAGCUAGCCAAGCUGCACUAAUUGUGAACAUUGAAUACCUUACUUGACCAAAUUAACAACAUCUUUCAAACUCAUGCUACAGCCCCUCAUAAUCUAGUCUUAUGAAUUUGCGGCAUCUUAAUAUCCCUUAGUAAUGAAACGAGACGCAGAACCAAUUAAUACCUACAUGCGAGUUUUGACAUUUUUCAGUUAUAUAAAAGAUGGUGGCCCUAAUUUUGCUUAAAACAACAUUUUGCUAUUACCAAGCAAAACAGUUGAGAGUUGGACAUCAUGUUUCAGAUUUCAUGCAAAGGAUCAGAAGUUACCUAAUAGUAUGCAAUGGAAAUUUGGCACAGGAAGACUAGUCAAACAGUAUCUGGGUGCAAUCCACACGCACUUGCGUUGCCAGGUUGGUUGAUUCUCUUCUUUCCACUUAAAAGAAUCACAACCUUACUAAUGUCUAAAAUGUGAUCUUUUAUCAACUUCUCAUACUUGUUUCAAUAUAUAUGGAUGCUUAAACUAGCAUUUGGAAAAACAACGAUUCAGUUAAUAUGACCUGUAGGAAAUUCUAUAUUACUCAUAAGAAAUCAAAGUCACUUCAGUAAAGCAGAUGAUUCUGUUGUUGAUUACUUCUCCAAUUUGCAGCUGAUUGGUUAGUCAUGUAACAUCUUAUGCGCUACCUAAUAGGUGGUUUUGUAGGCUGUCUUCAAUGAAACUGAGGAAUUCAUUCUAUCAGUCGACGAACUGAAAAAUGAGGUUAGUUUUCUGUCCUUCACAGAUCUUGAUAAUACUUAUCAGUUGUUUCAGAUUUCAUGCCUAUACAGGUAAUCUUCCGAGCGUAACGCCAAAAAGCUUCAACUUUUGAUCUCAUGCACUUCCUAAACAUGCAGACGCUUAAUCGAAAUGUUAUGUAUAGCAUCUACCUAAUGUGGACACAGACACGCAACAGAACACGGGAACAUUGAAUAACAUUUGAAUUAAUUAUUGAUCAAUGAAUAAGUUUUGAACAUAUAAUAAGGCUAAGAUGAUGGAAUUUACCUAAUGAACAAUAAGCUCAUGGAUGAACAUCAUAGAUGAGAAGCGGAUGCAUCUGAAGCCUAAGAGAGUAAAUAUACUACAAUUAGUGUCAAAGAAAACUAAUUUAAAUAGUCAAUUUAGCACAUAACUUUGAGAAAAGAAAUUGAUUGGAACUAACAAUUUUUUUACGGCGUGUAGAUUUUUUGCACUUUGAGCUGCCAUUGUGAUGAACUGAAUCUGAAGCAUUUCUCGCAGAACAUUCUUCAACUUCACUCACUCUUCCAANAAAUGUAAGAGAUGGAUGCAAUGUAUAUGAUCUAAAAUGAAUCAUAUUACUUGUGAAUGUUUAGUUUCCUUUUUCUUUCACUAAUGGCUAUUGCUUACCCUCGCGUAAGCCGUUUGUGUAUGUUUCCGCUAGUGCAUUUCUUGUUUGAAUUGUACACGUGUUGAGCCUUGGGCGGAUAGAGGUAACUCUGUCCGUUCGGCGUCUGUUUGACGUGCUCGGGUCGGGCCAAAUUGGUAUCGGUCCCGGGGCGUGACAGAUCAGAUGAGCUAUUUCGAUUAUGGUAGAUUCUAUGCCCAAUUGAGAAGGAUUGCACCAGCAACUACUCCGUAAUGAGCAUAAGUUGGUGUGUAAUUGUUCGUCAAAGAUUUGAGUUAUUAUUUCUACACAUAAUUGGAAAGAAAUUUAACUUUAACAUAGAAGAAAAGUAAACAAAUAUUUUUGAAUAACACGCUAACAAGAUGUACGUGAUGGCAAGUGGCACAUGAUAAAAGAAAAUAGUCGCCGAAUAGGAUAUAAAUCUCAAUAUGGGUCAAUAAAUUACUUUACGAUGAUAAAUUACUUAUGAGGGUUAUUGUAUGCAGUGACACUACAACAUUCUUCUACUAUUUAACGACAACCAUUAAUAUCCAAAAUAUAAAAACAACAAAGCAUAAAACCAAAAACAAAAUGCAGUCACUAGAUGUCCACAGCAAUUUCAAUUUUGUACAUUUUUAGAUUGAAAGUAUUGGUUAGUGGCACGAAAAAAGUAUAAAUAACUAAUACAACAAACAACAAAAACAUGUAAUAUUCAACAACUCUUAUAUAUUUAUUAAAGGGUUAAUUUCAUACAGGUCCCUGCAAAUAUAGUGAAUUGCAAAUAUAUCCCUACAAAAUUCAACUUUCAUAUGUUGUCCCUACAAAAGUCCUAAUGUUUUCAAAUAUGUCCCUCUGCUUUGUUACCGUUAAAAUACUAUUUAUUUUGUAAGUGAAAUGAUCUUUUGCCAUCACAAUAUGUCCCUCUAAAAAUCCUAACUAUUAAUUAAAGAGGGGUAAAAAUGUCAAUUCACCUCAUUAACUAACUAGGGUUAUGUAUUUUACCUAUGGUUAACUAAUUUUUUCUAGCGGAUCCUAACGGCAGGGACAUAUUUGAAAAUUUCAGGACUUUUGCAGGGACAAUAUAUGAAAGUUGAACUUUGUAGGAAUAUAUUUGCACUUCACUAUGUUUGUAGGGACCUGUAUGAAAUUAACCCUUUAUUAAAACUUCAACCCUGCAAAAACAGAAAUGGUGCGUAAUGAAUAUAUGAUGGCUGCAAGGAACUAGCCUCCAUGCCUAUGAUACUAGGAUCCCAGACAUAUCAUCACUUAAUUAUUAUGCUGCAAAUAUAACCUCAGAAUUGAGUCAAACAUUGUGUCAAAAAGAAUUAGAGUUGUACAACAAUAAAUUGAACUAUCUAGAUAGC
rnacentral:lncRNA from 1 species